AGAGUUUGAUCCUGGCUCAGGAUGAACGCUAGCGGCAGGCCUAAUACAUGCAAGACGAACGGUAAGUUGAGUAGCAAUACUUAGCCAAGAGUGUCGUACGGGUGCGUAACACGUAUGCAACCUACCCUAUACAGGAGGAUAGCCUAGGGAAACCUGGAUUAACCCUUCAUAGUAUUAUUGGAUGGCAUCAUUUGAUAAUUAAAACUGAGGUGGUAUAGGAUGGGCAUGCGUCUGAUUAGUUAGUUGGCGGGGUAAUGGCCCACCAAGACGAUGAUCAGUAGGGGUUCUGAGAGGAAGAUCCCCCACACUGGCACUGAGAUACGGGCCAGACUCCUACGGGAGGCAGCAGUAGGGAAUAUUGGUCAGUGGAUGCAAGUCUGAACCAGCCAUGCCGCGUGCAGGAAGAAGGCCUUCUGGGUUGUAAACUGCUUUUGCCAGGGGAUAAAAUUUCCAUGCGUGGAAAACUGAAGGUACCUGGUGAAUAAGCCACGGCUAACUACGUG
rnacentral:rRNA from 1 species